UACGUAGGCGGAAAAUUAAGUCAGUAGUGAAAUCCCGCAGCUUAACUGUAGAACUGUUAUUGAUACUGGUUUUCUUGAAUAUAGUUGAGGUAGGCGGAAUGUGUAAUGUAGCGGUGAAAUGCUUAGAUAUUACACAGAACACCGAUUGCGAAGGCAGCUUACUAAGCUAUGAUUGACGCUGGGGUACGAAAGCGUGGGGAGCGAACAGGAUUAGAUACCCUGGUAGUCC
rnacentral:rRNA from 1 species